rnacentral:ncRNA from 1 species
AGUCUUCGAAGGAUAAGAUUAAGACCUUAAUUCAUGGCU